rnacentral:tRNA from 1 species
UCUCUGGUAGUCUAGUGGUUAGGACCCAGAGCUUUCACCGCUGUGGCCUGAGUCCAAUCCCCAGUCUGGGAA